AUAAUGGGUCAGCGACUUAUAUUCUGUAGCAAGGUUAACCGAAUAGGGGAGCCGAAGGGAAACCGAGUCUUAACUGGGCGUUAAGUUGCAGGGUAUAGACCCGAAACCCGGUGAUCUAGCCAUGGGCAGGUUGAAGGUUGGGUAACACUAACUGGAGGACCGAACCGACUAAUGUUGAAAAAUUAGCGGAUGACUUGUGGCUGGGGGUGAAAGGCCAAUCAAACCGGGAGAUAGCUGGUUCUCCCCGAAAGCUAUUUAGGUAGCGCCUCGUGAAUUCAUCUCCGGGGGUAGAGCACUGUUUCGGCAAGGGGGUCAUCCCGACUUACCAACCCGAUGCAAACUGCGAAUACCGGAGAAUGUUAUCACGGGAGACACACGGCGGGUGCUAACGUCCGUCGUGAAGAGGGAAACAACCCAGACCGCCAGCUAAGGUCCCAAAGUCAUGGUUAAGUGGGAAACGAUGUGGGAAGGCCCAGACAGCCAGGAUGUUGGCUUAGAAGCAGCCAUCAUUUAAAGAAAGCGUAAUAGCUCACUGGUCGAGUCGGCCUGCGCGGAAGAUGUAACGGGGCUAAACCAUGCACCGAAGCUGCGGCAGCGACGCUGAUGCGUUGUUGGGUAGGGGAGCGUUCUGUAAGCCUGUGAAGGUGUGCUGUGAGGCAUGCUGGAGGUAUCAGAAGUGCGAAUGCUGACAUAAGUAACGAUAAAGCGGGUGAAAAGCCCGCUCGCCGGAAGACCAAGGGUUCCUGUCCAACGUUAAUCGGGGCAGGGUGAGUCGACCCCUAAGGCGAGGCCGAAAGGCGUAGUCGAUGGGAAACAGGUUAAUAUUCCUGUACUUGGUGUUACUGCGAAGGGGGGACGGAGAAGGCUAUGUUGGCCGGGCGACGGUUGUCCCGGUUUAAGCGUAUAGGCUGGUUUUCCAGGCAAAUCCGGAAAAU
rnacentral:rRNA from 1 species